ACUUAGUUCCUCUUCCUCAUUAUUUCUUGUUUAUUAUAGUUACAUAGUCAGCAUUGUUUUGGUUACCAGAGGUUAGUUUAUUGGCAUGAACAGUUUGUUGGAAAAAUACUUCCUUGCCGGUGCAUCCACCAUUGUGUAAAGGGCAUGACAUCUAUCUUUUACAUAAUAGCUUUAUAUUCAGACAAAAGGUCAUUAAAGAAACUGGCAUUUACUGGAGUAUAAAUUCGGACACAGUCCUGAUAGGCUUUGUUUCCGCAUAGUAGUCUCGAGGUUCUGUUGUUCCUUUGUUUGUGGAUGCACCAGAAAAGGCAAAUAGGUAUCAGUUUCCUUCCAAGUCUAUCUCCCUCGAGCAAAGAUAAGCAGACCCUUUCCAAAGGUUGGUAUAAUUCAACUCAAACAGCAAGACCAAUCUGUAAGGUGUAAUUUCAUGUCUCUUCAGAUUUUUUUUUUUUUUUUUUUGAUGAAACAUUCAUGUCUCUUCGAAUUUAAAUGAAACGGACAACAAAGUUUACGAAAUGCAAGCUGAGUGAUGCUAAUGAAUUCCUACCAGCCUAACUGAUGUGUGCGGCUAUUAGAAAUCGAGAUAUUACCCAUUGAAUCCAAAAGUGAACAUAUCUCAGAACUCCCUUGUCUCCCAGGAAGAGAUGAUUAGGGUCCUCUAUGUGACCAUGUCACUUUCGCACAUGAAGCACCUGUUGCACAAAGUGAACUCCUUUUUCUAAGUUAUCUUGGGAGAAGCGUGCUUCAUGUCACUAUCCAAACAAACCAAGAGACGAAGAGGGGCUAGUGGCUACUGUUUGCCAACACCCAGAGGUUCCAAGAUUAAUCAAGCUGCAAUAAUUUUAUUCAGUGAAAUUCCCUUUAUUAUCACCUUUCCACUUGAUGAAGUCAUUUUCUCUGUUUCUCCAAAAGAUGUCAGCCCCUCAAUUAACUGAAUUUCUUUCAGAAUCGUAAUAUAUUAUAAACAUAGCACUACGAGAGUGUGGUGAAAUAUGUAGAAUGGGAUGUCAAAGGCAAUUGACAGUGCCCCUAAAGUAUCCCUAUCCUAUUCCUGUAGGUGUAGGGUAUCUGUGAGAUCUAAAAUUACCUUCUGAAACUGAUGUUCCUACUACUAUUUGCUUUGUAUUAUUGAUAUUCCUACUACCAUUUGCUUUGCAUUGAGCUAUGGAUGAUUUCGGGGCAAGAGGUAGAACUGAGUAGGUCAGGGUAUUCCUCCCUUUAAAGAAGUGUGAUCAUGCCGAUCCCAAGGCUUUCGUCUAGUGGUAAGAGUGCAACACUUGUGGGUACUGGCAUGUUACGAGUCCGAACCCAGCCACAACCAAAAGCAUGAUAUUUAAGUGGAGGAGCGGGCCAGUAUCCACUGAGUUUCAAACAGUGCGCCAGUGGCCCUCGGGGAUUUCUUGGUUUCAAAAAAGAGGUGUGACCAAGCCAAGGAUUCUGUUAGAAUUUUCUUCAGCCCAUCUGCCACUUCAAAAUAAAAACUAUAUUGUUCCAAACUUAUCGGACCUCCCUGAAAGGACACGGGGUAGGACCAAAGCAGGCAUUACCUCAAGUGAGCUUACAGGAGGUGGUCCUCCUGUUUCGUGGGUACCAUCUCUUUGAUCUUGCAGGUUCUUCCACAAUUAGACCCUAAUCCUCUUUUGAAUGGUAACCGAAUGCAAAAUUUUCCGAGAAAGUAGAAACUACAUCUGUCAGAACUUGAAAUUGAGAGUUUGGUAACUAGGACUACUUGAAUUAAGUAAGAGCUGCAACGACGAGUAUAACUGUUAGACUAUUUAUUUAUUUUUGGUAAAGACUGUUAGACUAUUUAUUUCUGAGAUCAGUUGAACUCUACAAUAAGCAAUGCGCAGAAUACACUUUCUUUGCUCUUAUUUUCUGACUGAAAAAGUCACUUCUGUAAUCAUGGAAGCCUUUUGUCUUUUUUUUUUUUUUU